AUCAACUUUCGAUGGUAGGAUAGAGGCCUACCUUGGUUUCAACGGGUAACGGGGAAUAAGGGUUCGAUUCCGGAGAGGGAGCNUGAGAAACGGCUACCACAUCCAAGGAAGGCAGCAGGCGCGCAAAUUACCCAAUCCCGACACGGGGAGGUAGUGACAAUAAAUAACAAUAUAGGGCCCUAUUGGGUCUUAUAAUUGGAAUGAGUACAAUUUAAAUCCCUUAACGAGGAACAAUUGGAGGGCAAGUCUGGUGCCAGCAGCCGCGGUAAUUCCAGCUCCAAUAGCGUAUAUUAAAGUUGUUGCAGUUAAAAAGCUCGUAGUUGAAUUUCGGGGUUAGUAGGUUGGUCAUGCCUCUGGUAUGUACUGGUCUCACUGAUUCCUCCUUCCUGAUGAACCGUAAUGCCAUUAAUUUGGUGUUGCGGGGAAUUUGGACUGUUACUUUGAAAAAAUUAGAGUGUUUAAAGCAAGCUAACGCUUGAAUACAUUAGCAUGGAAUAAUGAAAUAGGACGUUCGAUCCUAUUUUGUUGGUUUCUAGGAUUGACGUAAUGAUUAAUAGGGAUAGUUGGGGGCAUUAGUAUUCAAUUGUCAGAGGUGAAAUUCUUGGAUUUAUUGAAGACUAACUACUGCGAAAGCAUUUGCCAAGGAUGUUUUCAUUAAUCAAGAACGAAAGUUAGGGGAUCGAAGACGAUCAGAUACCGUCGUAGUCUUAACCAUAAACUAUGCCGACUAGGGAUCGGAUGAUGUUAAUUUUUUAAUGACUCAUUCGGCGCCUUACGGGAAACCAAAGUGUUUGGGUUC
rnacentral:rRNA from 1 species